AUUGAACGCUGGCGGCAGGCCUAACACAUGCAAGUCGAACGAGUGGCGGACGGGUGAGUAAUGUCUGGGAAACUGCCUGAUGGAGGGGGAUAACUACUGGAAACGGUAGCUAAUACCGCAUACCAUCAGAUGUGCCCAGAUGGGAUUAGCUAGUUGGUGGGGUAACGGCUCACCAAGGCGACGAUUCCUAGCUGGUCUGAGAGAAAGACCAGCCACGCUGGAACUGAGGCACGGUCCAGACUACGAGGGGAGGCAGCAGUGGGGAAUAUGGCACAAUGGGCGCAAGCCUGAUACAGCCAUGCCGCGUGGAUGAAGAGGGCCUUAGGGUUGUAAAGUACUUUCAUCGGGGAGGCGUUACCCGCAGAAGAAGCACCGGCUAACUCCGUGCCAGCAGCCGCGGUAAUAC
rnacentral:rRNA from 1 species